rnacentral:pre_miRNA from 3 species
UCGAGGAGCUCACAGUCUAGUAUGUCUCAUCCCCUACUAGACUGAAGCUCCUUGAGGA